AACGAACGCUGGCGGCAUGCCUAACACAUGCAAGUCGAACGAAGGCUUCGGCCUUAGUGGCGCACGGGUGCGUAACGCGUGGGAAUCUGCCCUUUGCUUCGGAAUAACAGUUAGAAAUGACUGCUAAUACCGGAUGAUGUCGCAAGACCAAAGAUUUAUCGGCAAAGGAUGAGCCCGCGUAGGAUUAGCUAGUUGGUGGGGUAAAGGCCUACCAAGGCGACGAUCCUUAGCUGGUCUGAGAGGAUGAUCAGCCACACUGGGACUGAGACACGGCCCAGACUCCUACGGGAGGCAGCAGUGGGGAAUAUCGGACAAUGGGCGAAAGCCUGAUCCAGCAAUGCCGCGUGAGUGAUGAAGGCCUUAGGGUUGUAAAGCUCUUUUACCCGGGAUGAUAAUGACAGUACCGGGAGAAUAAGCUCCGGCUAACUCCGUG
rnacentral:rRNA from 1 species